AGCGAACGCUGGCGGCAGGCUUAACACAUGCAAGCCGAGCGGGCGUAGCAAUACGUCAGCGGCAGACGGGUGAGUAACGCGUGGGAACAUACCUUUUGGUUCGGAACAACACAGGGAAACUUGUGCUAAUACCGGAUAAGCCCUUACGGGGAAAGAUUUAUCGCCGAAAGAUUGGCCCGCGUCUGAUUAGCUUGUUGGUGAGGUAACGGCUCACCAAGGCGACGAUCAGUAGCUGGUCNGAGAGGAUGAUCAGCCACAUUGGGACUGAGACACGGCCCAAACUCCUACGGGAGGCAGCAGUGGGGAAUAUUGGACAAUGGGCGCAAGCCUGAUCCAGCCAUGCCGCGUGAGUGAUGAAAGGCCCUAGGGUUNUAAAGCUCUUUUGUGCGGGAAGAUAAUGACGGUACCGNAAGAAUAAGCCCCGGCUAACUUCGUGCCAGCCGCCGCAGUAAG
rnacentral:rRNA from 1 species